rnacentral:antisense_RNA from 1 species
UGUUAUGGCGGCUGUGUGCGGGAGACCUUCGGGUCUGCCGGGUUUGCCGUUUUGCCUCGGUUUUCCAGCCCGCUCACAGCUGCCACCCUU